CGUGUGGUUCGUUUUUCUUCAACUUACCUUCGGUUUGCAGAUUCUUGAUUUCAGACACUGAAAUUACUGUAAACAGGUAUAUUUACUUAAAAAAGGAAGAGUAGAGGCACUAACAGAUUAUGAAUUUUUCACCUAAGAAUGAGCUGCUUAUAUACAGGUUUUGAAAAAAUUCUUUUAACUCUUAGCCCACAUUGAUUCUUAUCAAUUUUGUCAAUGCAGAAUCUUAUUUUGCAAACCUCUUUUUUCUUUUUUGUCCCCUUGUUAAGACAAUGCAGAAUAUUUUGAUUUAUCAAAAACUUGAAUUUACAUGAAGAUUCUUGGAAAUAAUAACAUAAGACAAGCUGUGGCAGCCGUGUCAAGAGUUAUUUGAAAAGGUCGUCUUAGAAAAAUGCACGUUAAAUUCAUUCAAGUCCGGAGUGUUCAAACACUUCCUGAGGAUCUCUUUGAGCUAAGGCCUGAGCCUUGGAAAACAGCCACACUCAGGAACUGGUGGAGGAAGAGGAGCCAUCAAGGAAGCGGCCAUAGAAACCAUAGAAAGUGUCAAGAUGGUGACGAACGUCAAAUGCAGUAGAACGGUUAAGUUGGAUGAAAAGAAAAAGCUAUUGAUUUUGGCAAUAAAGAUGUCUCUACUGAUCUUUGUAAGCAGUUAAUGAGAUUAUUUGGGUAAAAGAUAGGUCCAGAGCACAGGAGAAGAGGCCGUGGAGACAGCAAGCGUAGACGAUUAAGUUUGGUGAAGAGAGGAAAGAUGGGCAGAUGCGCGACUGAGUCAUCAUGAGGAAAUUGUUGGAAAAGUUUCUCUGAUUAUAAAAGUAUGUCACUUUGAUAAAUACUAAGAAAAUAAGAGUAUAAAAGAAUUUAAAUGACCUCUAAGCUACCCAGAGAUAACCAUUGUUUCCUUUGAAAAUGCGUAACAAAAUUGGAGUUGAAGUUUAAAAACUGCAUGAUAUACUGUCAUGUAACGUGAUUCUUACCAUUUUUUAUUGUGUAUUUAAGAUACAGUUUUUGGUGUCAAUGUGUUGAAUAAGGGGUCUCUAUUUCCUUCAACCUUUCCCCACUCCCCACUUUGAAAUCCCUUGCUUCUGUUAGAAAUCCACAUUAAGCUACAUACUAGAAGUGUGAUUUUCAUCAUCCAUAUCAAGGAGAUAACCAACAGUAGUGACCCUCAUAGGAUUGUUGUGAGGAUUAAAAUGUAAGCAUUUAGCAUAGUACCUAGCUUAUAGUAGAGACUCAAUCCCCCCCGCCCCAC
rnacentral:lncRNA from 1 species